AGAGUUUGAUCAUGGCUCAGGAUGAACGCUAGCUACAGGCUUAACACAUGCAAGUCGAGGGGUAGCAGGAUCUAGCAAUAGAUUGCUGACGACCGGCGCACGGGUGAGUAACACGUAUCCAACCUUCCGUUUACUCGGGGAUAGCCUUUCGAAAGAAAGAUUAAUACCCGAUAGUAUGCUUUUCCCGCAUGGGAGAAUCAUUAAAGUUUUUCGGUAAUCGAUGGGGAUGCGUUCCAUUAGGCAGUUGGUGAGGUAACGGCUCACCAAACCUUCGAUGGAUAGGGGUUCUGAGAGGAAGGUCCCCCACAUUGGAACUGAGACACGGUCCAAACUCCUACGGGAGGCAGCAGUGAGGAAUAUUGGUCAAUGGACGAGAGUCUGAACCAGCCAAGUAGCCGUGAAGGAUGACCGCCCUAUGGGUUGUAAACUUCUUUUAUAUGGGAAUAAAGGAGCCUACGUGUAGGUUUUUGUAUGUACCAUACGAAUAAGGAUCGGCUAACUCCGUGCCAGCCGCUGC
rnacentral:rRNA from 1 species